rnacentral:rRNA from 1 species
GACGAACGCUGGCGGCGUGCUUAACACAUGCAAGUCGAGCGAGCGGCGAACGGGUGAGUAAUGUCUGGGAAACUGCCUGAUGGAGGGGGAUAACUACUGGAAACGGUAGCUAAUACCGCAUACCAUCGGAUGUGCCCAGAUGGGAUUAGCUAAUAGGUGGGGUAACGGCUCACCUAGGCGACGAUCCCUAGCUGGUCUGAGAGGAUGACCAGCCACACUGGAACUGAGACACGGUCCAGACUCCUACGGGAGGCAGCAGUGGGGAAUAUUGCACAAUGGGCGCAAGCCUGAUGCAGCAACGCCGCGUGCGGGAUGACGGCCUUCGGGUUGUAAACCGCUCUCAGCCAUGACGCGGUAGUGGCAGAAGAAGCACCGGCUAACUACGUGCCAGCAGCCGCGGUAAUAC